rnacentral:rRNA from 1 species
CCUACGGGGGGCUGCAGUGGGGAAUAUUGGACAAUGGGCGAAAGCCUGAUCCAGCCAUGCCGCGUGUGUGAAGAAGGCCUUCGGGUUGUAAUGCACUUUCAGUGGGGAAGAAAGCCUUGGGGCUAAUACCCUCGAGGAAGGACAUCACCCACAGAAGAAGCACCGGCUAACUCCGUGCCAGCAGCCGCGGUAAUACGGAGGGUGCGAGCGUUAAUCGGAAUUACUGGGCGUAAAGCGCGCGUAGGCGGUCUGAUAAGCCGGUUGUGAAAGCCCCGGGCUCAACCUGGGAACGGCAUCCGGAACUGUCAGGCUAGAGUGCAGGAGAGGAAGGUAGAAUUCCCGGUGUAGCGGUGAAAUGCGUAGAGAUCGGGAGGAAUACCAGUGGCGAAGGCGGCCUUCUGGACUGACACUGACGCUGAGGUGCGAAAGCGUGGGUAGCAAACAGGAUUAGAUACCCGAGUAGUC